CUGCCACCAAUCUUGGUUAAAAGUGCAGCCUGCUUCAGACCUGAUGCGGCUGCACCGGACGUGACUUGGGUCAAGAUUUCUGAUGGGUCCAGAAUCAGACAGAACACUGGAUGAAGGUGCUGUCUCACCAUGAGACACAGAGCUGGCGCUCCUAUAUGGCUGCACAGGUGGCCGCCUUAGGGCACACUGGCCCGAAGGGUGCAUUGUCCAAGUGACUGGCAGUAGGGGAGUGAACAGCGCUCCUCUCAAUCGAUGUAGCAUGGCCAAACUUUCGUGUGGCCCACAGAUGCAAGUGCCACCGCUAAAAAAGUAUUUCUACACUGAACCUCUGUUCAUUUUAGGAAGGGUAUCUCUCAUAUACACUGAUCAGCUACAACAUUAAAACCACCUGCCUAAUAGGUCCCCCUCGUAUUAAGGCUUGAACUCCAAGAUCUCCGAACAUGUCCUGUGGUAUCUGACACCAAUACAUUAGCAGCAGAUCCUCCUGCAAGGUGAGAGAUGGGGCCUCCAUGGAUCGGAUUUGUUAUUCCAGCACAUGCCCCAGAUGUUCAAUGAAAUUGAGGUCUCUGAGAAUUUGCAGGCCAAGACAACACCUUGAACGGUUUAUCAAGUUCCUCAAACCAUCCUUGAACAAUGUUUGCAAUGUGGCAGGGUGCAUUAUUAAAGAUCAAAGAGGACACUGCCAUUAGGAAACGCCAAUGCCAAGGAGGGGUUUAAGUGACCUGCAACAAUCUGUAAAUAGGUGGUGUGUUUCAAAGUAAUAUCCCAUAAAUGCUAGCACCCAAAUUUUCCCAACAAAACAUUUCCCUGAGCGUAGCACUGUAUCUGCCAGCCUGCCUAUCAGGGCCCCUGUGUCACGGCUUACCUUAGUGGGAGUCCGGUAUGCAGAGCUAUGCUCACCCUUGCAAUUAAACACAGACCAAGGUGAUCAGAUAAGAACCCACCUGGUCUGUGAGUCUGUGCACGGGGGAGCAGGAUAAUGCUCCAAGUCCCAGUACUGGUAUGGACAUAAGCAGGAGAAUCGUCGUGGGUAAGCCAAAAGUCAGAGGGUGCCAGAUGUCAGGAUAAACAAGGGUAAGCCAAAGUCAGAGGAUGCCAGAAGUCAGGAUACACGAAUAACAAGCCAAGGCCAGAAGCCAACUGGAGAACACAAACACCAAUACAGG